UCUUCACAGAUUUGGGAUACUCGGAGAUUUCAUGAAUGCAUUUCAGAAUUUUAUUGAAAAUUUCGGGUUCAUCUUGUUGGAGCGACGUGGAUUGAAAUUUUUGAAAACGAAAUAAAAGUAGCAGUUCUGAGAACUUUAUCACUUGAGUUACUGGUGCAGCAAAUCAACAAUCAGGAAACACCGGUGAUAAAUUUGAUUGUUUACCGAAUACGUUGCUAAUGUAGAACAUUAUUUUUUAGUUCAACCCUGAUUUCAAUGGAGCAAAAGUGGAUAAAUUAUCAAUAAAUCAUUUCAAAAUUCAAA